GCUUGUCUCAAAGAUUAAGCCAUGCAUGUCUAAGUAUAAGCAUAAUACAGUGAAACUGCGAAUGGCUCAUUAUAUCAGUUAUAGUUUAUUUGAUAGUCCCUGCUAUUUGGAUAACCGUAGUAAUUCUAGAGCUAAUACAUGCACAAAGCAGCCUUCACGGGUUGUGUAUUUAUUAGAUACAAUCAGCCCCCUUGGGGUCAUGAUGAAUCAUAAUAACUGAACUAAGCGCAUGCUUUGGCGGCGCUGUUUCAUUCAAGUUUCUGCCCUAUCAGCUUUCGAUGGUAGGGUAUUGGCCUACCAUGGUGGUAACGGGUGACGGAGGAUUAGGGUUCGAUUCCGGAGAGGGAGCCUGAGAAACGGCUACCACAUCCAAGGAAGGCAGCAGG
rnacentral:rRNA from 1 species